GCUGCGCACUUCGGUCUUUUACGUCGGCCUUCGCGAGCGUCUGGGCGGGUGGUAGGAACAAUGGCGCUGUCUUCAGUGGCACAGUGGAGCAGCUCUGAAGAUGCAAAGAUACACGAAAAAACUUCCAGAACAUCUGGGAGAAUAUUUAAUGGAAAAUCGCUUGGUUAAAACCUGACACUUUUAACAGUGAACAGCGUUCUGAGUGUGGACGAGUAGCCAGUGAAGAUAAUGAAUGUCGAAUGUGACUGACUAGCAGCUUCAUUUUGAAGUAGUGAGGGUCGCUGUCUGCCCAUUGAUAGAGGCCAGAUUGUCUUGGAAGUUCCAAAGUUGCAACGAUUUCUGGCUAGUGCCACGAGGUUUACUUGACUGUUGUGUGAAAAGCUGAUAAGAAAACCAUCCAGAAAAAAGCUCUUCGUUUUACAAACAUGAAAAUAAAACAUGUAAUUUUGGA
rnacentral:lncRNA from 1 species